rnacentral:piRNA from 3 species
GGUCGGGGUUUCGUACGUAGCAG